AAUGCACAGCUACAGCUGGUUGAAGGGGACCAAAUCCAUUGAAGAGUUGAUUUGGUUCCAUUUUACCAGCUUUAGCAAAGCAUUUGG
rnacentral:pre_miRNA from 19 species